CGGUGUUGGGGUGUGUUUGGUGGGGUUGGGUCCUUUUGUCGGGCGCGCUUAGUCCCUCGUUGCCCGACCGCUAGUGGUCGACGUAUACGAGAUAGUCUUCAUGAAGAUCGUGGUUUCUGGGCCACCUCUAGAUCGUCGUCUUCGACAUUGAUGUUCCCUGCGUUCACUUGAAUUACAUCAUUCUGAUUCUCGAAGUGAACCAUGGCAAAGCUAGGG
rnacentral:rRNA from 1 species